CCGUCAAGGAUCUCAAGUCCAUUUUAGAGGGCGGAGUUGACGCCUUGUCUUCAAAUUUACAUGAAUGAACAUUAAAGAGGUCAUCAUGGGGGGUGGAGUCACUUACUGAUUCAGAGAGAGAGGAUAGGGUAAGCAAGUCAAAAGACUCAUACUGAGGAAUAAGGGGAUCAGGAUUGCAGGUAUGGAGGGAAACAGAAAGUUUAGAGAGAAAGAAGCAUGAUCGAACGAGGGUAGUCUCCAUCUGAGCAUCUCUGAGAGAAGGGAGGAGAGACAGGGUGUGACUAAUUCUGGAAAUAGUGCUGGAGAGGACAGAGGAGGUGUAGGAGGAGGGGCCAAUAGGGAAACCUAAAGGAACAAAACCACCUGUGGAGAUAGGAAUUUCUGGAGGUAAAGGGUUAGCUGGAAGGACUAGGUUCGAAGGGAGGGAAAGAAGACAUUUA
rnacentral:lncRNA from 1 species